GAUGAACGCUGACAGAAUGCUUAACACAUGCAAGUCCACUUGAAUUUGGGUUUUUAACUUAGGUUUGGGUGGCGGACGGGUGAGUAACGCGUAAAGAACUUGCCUCACAGCUAGGGACAACAUUUGGAAACGAAUGCUAAUACCUAAUAUUAUGAUAAUAGGGCAUCCUAUAAUUAUGAAAGCUAUAAGCGCUGUGAGAGAGCUUUGCGUCCCAUUAGCUAGUUGGAGAGGUAACGGCUCACCAAGGCGAUGAUGGGUAGCCGGCCUGAGAGGGUGAUCGGCCACAAGGGGACUGAGACACGGCCCUUACUCCUACGGGAGGCAGCAGUGGGGAAUAUUGGACAAUGGACCGAGAGUCUGAUCCAGCAAUUCUGUGUGCACGAUGAAGUUUUUCGGGAUGUAAAGUGCUUUCAGUUGGGAAGAAACAAAUGACGGUACCAACAGAAGAAGUGACGGCUAAAUACGUG
rnacentral:rRNA from 1 species